GGAUGGCUCAGUGGUUAAGAGCACUGGCUGCUCUUCCAGAGGACCUGGGUUCAAUUCCCAGCAACCA
rfam:Neotoma lepida isolate 417 scaffold_222, whole genome shotgun sequence.